GGUCCCGUAGCUCAACUGGAUAGAGCGGCCGACUUCUAAUCGGCAGGUUGGGCGUUCGAGUCGUCCCGGGAUCGCCA
rnacentral:tRNA from 1 species